GGGGAUUUAGCUCAGUGGUAAAGCACUUGCCUAGCAAGUGCAAGGCCCUGGGUUCAGUCCCCA
rnacentral:tRNA from 1 species